AUACCAUGAUGAGGGAAACGUCUAAUGAUAUCUUUGAAAUGUUCCCAUGCUUCAUACUGCGUAAAAUAGGUAAUGUCGUUCCUGAGCUU
rfam:Gossypium arboreum cultivar AKA8401 contig_1509_15, whole genome shotgun sequence.